rnacentral:rRNA from 1 species
AUUGAACGCUGGCGGCAGGCCUAACACAUGCAAGUCGAACGAGUGGCGGACGGGUGAGUAAUGUCUGGGAAACUGCCCGAUGGAGGGGGAUAACUACUGGAAACGGUAGCUAAUACAGCAUACCAUCGGAUGUGCCAAGAUGGGAUUAGCUAGUAGGUGGGGUAACGGCUCACCUAGGCGACGAUCCCUAGCUGGUAUGAGAGGAUGACCAUGCACACUGGAACUGGUACGCGGUCCAUACUCCUUCGGGAGGCAACGGGGGGGAAUAGUUCACAAUGGGCGCAAGCCUAAUGCAUCCAUGCCGGGGAUAUGAAGAAGGCCUUCGGGUUGUAGAGUACUUUCAGCGAGGAGGCGUUGCUCGCAGGUGGAGCACCGGCUAACUCCGUGCCAGCAACCGCGGUAAUAC